rnacentral:snoRNA from 1 species
GCCCCUCUCAGGUCCCACCUGGAGAAUUUCCAGUACUCUACCAGUCUCGGCUAUGGAAGGGAGAGUCAAGUAGAGACCUAUCCAUUCCAUUUCUAGCUUGGGCAGUGGCUAGCAAGUGGAAGGCAAUCUGCUACAAGU